rnacentral:misc_RNA from 1 species
UGUGCCGAACGGCUGUGAAACAAGACGAUGCGGCCGUACCGCUGGCUGUUGUUCGUGCUUCUAGUGGCCACCACAGACGGACUAGACGGAGACGUGAUAUCAGCAACACCUGUCCAGGCCACGAUAAAAGUAAGCCACACAGUGUUUGAUUUGCCUGAAAGAUGCCAGACUGGAUACGUGCUUGUGAACGGGAAAUGUGAGAGGACGGUGACCUUACAGACAGGAGAACAUGAAAAGCCAGCACAAGAGGUGGAACAUGAUGGAUAGGGAUUAUAGAAGAAACAGACUACGACAUACCGCUAUCUUAUCAUAGAUCUACUGCACAUACUCUGACACAAUUCUGUCUCUCUUAUCACCUUUCCUAUCAUGGCAUCAAAAAUCAAUUACGAAAGAAUGAGUAGUAAGAGAUUACGUCGCAACAUUGUGCGAGACCGAAGAUGAUCGCACUCCGCGCUGCCGUACGAGAAAUAAGCUGAGGGACAGUCGACGACGUGGCCGCUAUCUGACGACGAGACGUCCACAAAUAAAACUACAUUAACCAUUGAAAGUGUGGUUAACGGUGAUCACUUACUAGCCUACAUGGUUCCAAACGGUAUUAUACGUGUUAUGGUAGUCUGGUUUUACCUAAGUUACGAACAGGGACCACUGGUAUGUUGAGGAAGGUUACAGCUGUGAUAUGAAAUCCUUAGGUAGCCCAAUUUGUUUCACAUUUGAUGGGGAGAAAUAUUGGAUGUUAAUUUUUGCAGGAAAUUUGAAUUUUUGGUCGUCAUAAUUUGGUUUGAUCAUUCACUGAGUAUUAAUGACUUAACUAGUUGUAAAUUCGACUGUUAUAGAAGUUGUUCAGCAUUGGUUGGAAGCUAUUGAGUAGCUACUGAGUAGCUAGUCUCAUUAACUUGUAGAAAAGAAAUUGGUGUUUCGUCGGCAGGAAUAGAAAACAGUUUGUUAAAAUUCAUGGUGAAACCUUCAGCUGUCAUUUGUUUUGCACAAUUCGAUACUAGUUUCGAUCGAUGACCAUUGUCAAGCUUAGCCUAAGACAAAUAAAUGAAUCCAUUAGAGACUACACAGUUACGGGAAAAUAUGAGGUUAAAUAGUAUUUCACUUACUGGCAUAAACUGUAGCAAAAUUAUACCAUAAUUUGAACAAUAGUUACUUGCUCUCUUAAUCCCACCAUAGUACGUAAAAAAUUUCUCACAAUAAUAAUUGUGUAGGAUCAUUUUCGUCAAGAAUCAACUUCACAUCGAUAGCGCGUAACACACUGACAGACGAAACUAGGCUAAAAAUUCAAGGACACUGUCAAAGAAAAUACCUUGUCGGGGAUAAAUUGAUAGUACACGGUAGCAAUUGUAGUGUCAAUUUACUAAGAGGUACAUUAUAAUCUUUGGUUCCAAGUAAACCCUGUACACCAGUGAGCUAGAUCGUGAAGUUCAAUAUGUACAAACGUACUACAUCAAGAAAUGCCACACAGGCGACGUUUGGAAUUUUUUCCUGUAAGGAUAGAAGUACUGGAGAAUGAUGAUCUCUCUUUGUGGGCAUAUUUAUUGAACGUAAGUUUUUAUGUGCACAUAAAUACCUGUCAGUUUUUCUGGAAACUGUAAGGUAUGUUUUAUAAUUUCUGGGGUAUUACGUUUAUUUUUCAUUAUCUUACAUGCAUUACUCUCUAGAGGUCAGCCUCCCGCCCCCCUUCUAGUACAUCCUAAAGAGUGACAAUGCAAAUAUAAUGUUCAUCUGUGUCAUACUAUUGAUUCUUCUGUAAUAAUGUAAAAUGGUCUCUAAAGGAGCAAACAAUUUCUGAUAUAGUUUGAUAACAUUACUUACGUGAAGUCUCUUUCGUGGGAAGGUUUUGUAAGUGUAAUUAUGGAAAUGUUUGGAGAUCGGGGCUAUCGUAUUGGACUGCACUA